rnacentral:rRNA from 1 species
UACGUAGGGCGCAAGCGUUGUCCGGAUUCAUUGGGCGUAAAGAGCUCGUAGGCGGUUUGGUAAGUCGGGUGUGAAAACUCAGGGCUCAACCCUGAGAUGCCACCCGAUACUGCUAUGACUAGAGUCCGGUAGAGGAGCAUGGAAUUCCUGGUGUAGCGGUGAAAUGCUUAGAGAUUACAUGGAAUACCAAUUGCGAAGGCAGGUUACUGGGAAUAUAUUGACGCUGAUGGACGAAAGCGUGGGUAGCGAACAGG